GAUGAACGCUGGCGGCGUGCCUAAUACAUGCAAGUCGAACGGCAGGACGAGAGUGUUGCUUCUACUGCGUGAGAGGGGCGCGGGGGUGAAAAAUGUGUCUAACCGACCUGAGUAACGGGGAAAAACUAGGGAAAAGGGAGCUUAUAACGGAUAAGAUCUUGAGGCGCAAAGGGGGAAAGAGCAAGACGGCGUUGCUGUCACGUAUCGGAGGAUCGGCGCUGGAUUGGGUAGUUGGUAGGGUAACGGCCUACCAAGGCAACGAGGCAUAGCCGAGCUGAGAGGCUGAUCGGCCACACUGGAACUGAGACACGGACCAGACUCCUACGGGAGGCAGCAGUAGGGAAUCUUCCGCAAUGGGCGAAAGCCUGACCCAGCAACGCCGCGUGUGUGAUGAAGGCCUUCGGAUCGUAAAGUUCUGUUAUUAGGGAAGAACAGAUGUGUACUUAUCCGUGCACUUCUUGACGGUACCUAAUCAAAAAGCCCCGGCUAACUACGUG
rnacentral:rRNA from 1 species